ACUAUAUGUAUUAUUUUAUUAUGUUAUUAUAGAUAAAGCAGUGAUCCUCUACUAUAAAAAGGGGGAUAGAUUGCAAUAGAGGCAGGUCCUCCAAGAUACAUUAAGAUUUCAUUGUACUUGUUUUUCUAAUUCAUUUCAGUCUUUCCACCCAUCAUUCCCGUUUUAUAGCAAAAUUACCUGUAUUUUUAUUUUGUAUUAAAGGAAUUCGCAUACCCUUAGAACCAUAUCUAAAUUUAACGUUAUCCGAUUUUUCGGGUAAACAUGCAUCAUUUAGAGAUAUUAUUUUGUUUUUCUGCCUAAGUGAUAUGAGAAUCAUAGAAGGUAACAACAUGAGAUUAGUACGUACUCUUCGUUUAGUCUCUCUAUUUGUUAGUCUCUCUAUUUGUUUAAAACUCAACGAAGGUAAAAGAGGCAAACUUGUUCAACUAUUUUCAAAGAAGUAUGUUUUGCUUGGGUAAAAUUGAGUUGUUACAAGAUGAUAUUAGUAUGGUAAAAUCGUAUACAAUCUUAAUUGGUUUGUAUCUUACUAAAGUAGGAUGUAUGCUCGAUUCUAGUUAAAAAAAUUUCUUCUUAUCUUAAAGAAGAAAGACCUACAAAAGGAAAGAGGGUAAAAGAGCCGGGUGUUUUUAUACUUUCUGUAUUUUAAAGAUUAUGAGUUAAACUUGUUGUCAUCUACUCCAUACAAUAACAUUGUCACUGCUAUGUCUUGAUGUGAAUCGACAACCUCUCAAUCCCUUGUCUUCUCUAUCUGUUUGAAGUUUAGUUUUGUUAAUUUGUAGCAGAGUUAGUAGUUUUAGUUAGGACUCAAAAUCUGUUGGGUGGAGGUUGUAUGUCGUUUUGCUGUUAAUGCUGCUAAAGGAUGAAUGUUGGUUAAAGCAGUCACUCAUUUAUAAUAAUUCCUUAUAGGCAAUAUUACUCUUGCAUAUAUUUAACUUCAAGGAAGACCAAUUUUCCUUCAACUAACUCUGUGUUUGAAAAAGAGUAGUAUCUUCAACUAAUUUUGUGUUUGAAAUAAAGUAGUAUAAGGAAGUCCGAUUUUUCUAAAAUGACUAAUUUUCUUCUUCCUCGACAUUUUUGGUUGAAGAUACUGACAUGGUAUUGGAUUAUUUUUUUAAAAUUUUCUUUGUAAGCAUAUGAUACUAAAUUUUUGAAUGUUGGGUUUAGAAAAUUUCUAGAUAUUGUGUUCUAUUUUCUUUCUUACAUUUUCUUCUUUUAGCAAAUGUGUGGAUAAAAUUAGAAUUCUUUAAGGCAAUAAAUCCGGCUAAGGCAAAAUUACACAUCCGGCAUAGGCUUCUGUUCGCUGCUCCUUCCUUUUCUUUCUCUGGUAAUAUUUUCACCAUAGAUUUAUCAUUCUUCUUUAGUAAUUUUGUACUUCAAUUUUACUGAUAUUGUAUUGAUAAAUUUGUUAUUUUGAUUUUUAGUUUUGAAAAAUGAGAGUUGAGUUGAUCAAUUUUCUAGUUUCAGAAAAAGAAAGUUGAGUUGGUGGAUUUUGAUUUCUUAUUAGAAGCAAUGAGACCUGGUGGAGAGAAAAUUGGGGUUGCUAUAUUUUUGUUAAAUUUAUAUUUUAAAUUUUGUUUACUCCAAUUUAAAGAUAUCGUAAUUGCAUUUUGGCUUUUGAUUAUUUAUUCAAUAUUCAUUGGAGAACAUAGUCAUAAUGUUGACCUAAUAUUCCUGCAUUAUAACUGUUUUUCAGUUUCAAGUAGAAUAGGAUUUAUUUGGUCUUACAAAUUUUUAUUCUAUUGUGUAUAUUGUCUUAUAAAGUUUUAUUGUGUUGUGAAUCAUUUUAAUAUAAUUUUGGAUGGCUAAGUCUGGUUAGUCUAGUCAUUUUUUAAUUUCGCUUCCGGCCCUUUGUCGUUGCGUAAUUCUGUGGUUACCUUGACGGCUCUUUGUUGUUGUAUACUUGCAAAGAAAGAUGCCAUCUUUCUCAUCCUAUUUUAGCUCCCAAUCACUACUUAGCCAAAAGAAACAGAGGAUGUUAGCUUGAAGAAGUAUCACAAUGAUCAGUCCUAGUGUUUUGAAACUUUUUAAAGAAUAUGAUCUUUCAAAGUAAAACAAAAUCUAAUGCAAAUGUCAUGAUGCCUUAACUCUUGUUUCCUUCGAAUUGUAGAACGUGCGGGUUCAUAAUGCAGUUUCUUCCCAAUCUAUUAGGGAGAAUUCUACUUCUAGCACUAAAGAAUUAAAGUAUGAGAUUAAUAUUAGGAACUCAAAAGUAAAUGUCUAUGAGAACAAUUUAAAGAUGUUGAUUGUAGUUGGUAACACUGGAAAGUAGACCAUUAUUGUUCCUGAUCUAUCCAAUUAUUUGCCAACUGAGUAAGUUGAGUGUUUUGAUACCUGAUAGUUUCUAUGGUGUGCUUAGUUUUGACAGGAUUUCUAAAAGCAAUUCGUGCUUUCCUUUGCUUUUCAUUUGAUUCUUGCACCAUUUACUUGUUGACAUUUUUUGUGUUUAGCUGUAGGCCUUGAUUUCCAGCACCGUUAAAAAGUAAGACCAUAAUAUCCAAUAGGCUGAAGUAGUGUGAGCCUUCUAUCUUUAAGUUUCCAGUGUCAUUUACUUAAAUAUACCAUGUUCUUCACCUUUUGGGGAAUAAUGUACAUGGUAUAACUAUAAUAUGAGUAAAUUCUCAGGAAGUAAAAGACUAUAUUGUUCUAUAUACAUGCUUUCCAUAAUUCACAACACGUUGCAAGCUACAAAGUGGGAAUGAAUGACAACAGAGUAGUCUAAAGUCGAAUAAUCUCGAGGUAACAGCUUAGUAAAGAAGUCACAACACGAACCAUCGUGACCAUUGCUCCGUACUCCUUGUGUUAACUUUGUGUAGAAAGGGAGAAGAGAAAUUAAAUAGAGAUUGACUGCAGCAAAUUGACUUCAGAAUUAAUAUUCAAUACCUACCAGUCUUCUUAAUUUGUUUAUGGUAUCAGCUACUUGUGUCUUGAUUACCUACCUGUACUGGUCUUUUGAACUGUAGUAGGUCGAUAUCACAACAGUUUUUUUUGUUGCAGGAUGAAAAUGUAAGUCCAUAGCAAGUUGUAGUCGUGGAAGAUAACAUGGAGCUUCCAUUUUCAUUCCAUUGUGGAGUAAUUGAAGAAAGGGAAGAUGGAGAUAUUGAAGAUCUAGACCUUACUUAAGAAGAACUUUGAAUUGUUGUCGAUGUUCUCGGAGUCUUUUGUUAUUAACAUUUGAAACUUUAACUUUUGAAGUGUUGAACCGUAAAACUUAUGUGAUUGGGUUAAAACAUUUUGCUAUUAUGGUUAUUAUUAGCUUAUUGGAGCGUAUAGAUUAUGAAGUGUUUUAUCUUUUUAUUUA